AAUGAAAGUGCUGCAGGCAAUCUGGAGAAGGGACAGGCGCUUGGCUGCUCAGACCAAGCAGAGUCGUGUCCCCGCACCCCUCCCGUGCUCGUGUAGGAAGACGGGAUGGAAGGGGUGGCCUGCGUCCAUCUCCCUGCGCUCAUCCCUGGAUGAUGGGGAGUCAACAAACUCACCCAUGAAGAUGGGACUCCACUCCACGCCCAUUUGUAUGAAUCACAACAUAAGCAGAAGGCCUUUUGCUGUUUCUGAACUGACUGCUUGUGACACUGAUGGUCCCGCAGCCCCAAACUCUCCCUUGUCGCCAGCAGAGAGCAAACCUUGGGUCAAGACAGCAUGGUUUCCUACUAUUGCCUCAACUCUUGAGCAAAUCGCUCAACUUGGGGGCCCAGAGAUUUCCCUCCUGGGACUGUCAACCAGGAGGCAAUGAAUUUUGUGAUAGGGAAAUUUUCCCAUUUGUAACUGGGCUGAAAUUCCCAAUGAUUUC